UACGUAGGUGGCAAGCGUUGUCCGGAAUUGUUGGGCGUAAAGCGCGCGCAGGUGGUUCUUUAAGUCUGAUGUGAAAGCCCCCGGCUCAACCGGGGAGGGUCAUUGGAAACUGGGGAACUUGAGUGCAGAAGAGGAUAGUGGAAUUCCAAGUGUAGCGGUGAAAUGCGUAGAGAUUUGGAGGAACACCAGUGGCGAAGGCGACUGUCUGGUCUGUAACUGACACUGAGGCGCGAAAGCGUGGGGAGCAAACAGG
rnacentral:rRNA from 1 species